CUGACUGAACUAGGGGGCAUAUAGCUUACUGAAUUCAAUCAAACUCCGAAUACCAUUAUUCAAGAGCGCAGGAGUGAGACCAUGGGAGUUAACUUCCAUCGUCGAAAGGGAAACAACCCAGACCACCAGCUAAGGUCCCAAAUCAUAUCUAAGUGGGAAAGGAGGUGGAGAUUCUUAAACAACUAGGAGGUUGGCUUAGAAGCAGCCAUUCCUUGAAAGAGUGCGUAAUAGCUCACUAGUCGAGAGUCUCUGCGC
rnacentral:rRNA from 1 species